rnacentral:rRNA from 1 species
UUGAACGCUGGCGGCAGGCCUAACACAUGCAAGUCGAACGGUAACAGGAAGAAGCUUGCUUCUUUGCUGACGAGUGGCGGACGGGUGAGUAAUGUCUGGGAAACUGCCUGAUGGAGGGGGAUAACUACUGGAAACGGUAGCUAAUACCGCAUAACGUCGCAAGACCAAAGAGGGGGACCUUCGGGCCUCUUGCCAUCGGAUGUGCCCAGAUGGGAUUAGCUAGUAGGUGGGGUAACGGCUCACCUAGGCGACGAUCCCUAGCUGGUCUGAGAGGAUGACCAGCCACACUGGAACUGAGACACGGUCCAGACUCCUACGGGAGGCAGCAGUGGGGAAUAUUGCACAAUGGGCGCAAGCCUGAUGCAGCCAUGCCGCGUGUAUGAAGAAGGCCUUCGGGUUGUAAAGUACUUUCAGCGGGGAGGAAGGGAGUAAAGUUAAUACCUUUGCUCAUUGACGUUACCCGCAGAAGAAGCACCGGCUAACUCCGUGCCAGCAGCCGCGGUAAUACGGA